AGCACAGUGGGUUUACUUUAGGCAUUCUUAUCUCCUGUGCUGUUAAUUGAACUUUAUUUACACCGAGGAUGCUCCUGCAGGUUCUAGCAACAAUUAACAGAGUUGGAGAUAAGAAAUUCAAAAUGAAUCACACUGUGCAAUAAGGGAAGCAAAAAGGCUUUGUGAGUCUCAGUCAGGGGAGGUGUGGCUAGAGCUGCAUAACAAAG